rnacentral:rRNA from 1 species
AGCGCAGGCGGUUUGUCAAGUCAGAUGUGAAAGCCCACGGCUCAACCGUGGAAGUGCAUUUGAAACUGGCAGACUUGAGUAUCAGAGGGGAAAGUGGAAUUCCCGGUGUAGAGGUGAAAUUCGUAGAUAUCGGGAGGAAUACCGGUGGCGAAGGCGACUUUCUGGCUGAAUACUGACGCUGAGGCUCGAAAGCGUGGGGAGCAAACAGGAUUAGAUACCCUGGUAGUC